rnacentral:tRNA from 1 species
GCCCGCCGACCUGGGCACCGCCUCUCACUCGUAAUGAAGGGGUCUGGGGUUCGAUUCCCCAAGGCGGCU